rnacentral:rRNA from 1 species
ACUCAAAUGAAUUGACGGGGGCCCGCACAAGCGGCGGAGCAUGCGGAUUAAUUCGAUGCAACGCGAAGAACCUUACCAAGGCUUGACAUGAACCGGUAAGACCUGGAAACAGGUCCCCCACUUGUGGUCGGUUUACAGGUGGUGCAUGGUUGUCGUCAGCUCGUGUCGUGAGAUGUUGGGUUAAGUCCCGCAACGAGCGCAACCCUCGUUCCAUGUUGCCAGCGCGUUAUGGCGGGGACUCAUGGGAGACUGCCGGGGUCAACUCGGAGGAAGGUGGGGACGACGUCAAAUCAUCAUGCCCCUUAUGUCUUGGGCUUCACGCAUGCUACAAUGGCCGGUACAAAGGGUUGCGAUACUGUGAGGUGGAGCUAAUCCCAAAAAGCCGGUCUCAGUUCGGAUUGGGGUCUGCAACUCGACCCCAUGAAGUCGGAGUCGCUAGUAAUCGCAGAUCAGCAACGCUGCGGUGAAUACGUUCCCGGGCCUUGUACACACCGCCCGU